AUGGUGGUCUGUCAUUUUUACCCCAGGCCACCCCAGAUGAGAACCUCUGGGCACAGUGCAGUGGGAGUGCGGGGUGCCAGGGUGGGGCAGAAGAGGCACAGGGCUCCCUCGUGGGCCUGCCAGCCAAAGACCACCCCUAGGGCCUGGGACACCAUCCUCAUUACAGGGCAGGGCCCUGGUGGGAGAGGAGGCUGCCCCUCACACCUCUUGCCCAGCUGCACCAUGCUGCUGGCCACAGCCAACUGGCAGCAGCACCAUGAGGCCAAGCAAGGCAAGGGUGGUGGUAACAGGCGAGGGCAGGUGUGGGAGCAGAAGGACAUGUGGGGCUUGUUCUGGCUGUGCAGGAAGGCUGGUAGAGGCAGAAGAUGGCGGCAGAGGCACAGAAGGAAACGUUUUUUUAACCGAGAGACAAAGAGAAGGAAUCCAGGGAGAGGAAAGUGCCGCAGGGAGCAGGACCACUCUGCACCUUCUUCAAAUGGUAGCUGGGUACAGGAGGGUCCACACAGGUCUCCCACACAGGGACUGUGGCACAAGAGGUCUGAGGGGGCACGCUGGUGGCACGACAGCAGGAGGAGGAGGAGACGCCACCGCUGCAUGAAGCCUCUCUACCAAGCCAGGGCAGGUGGGCAGAGCAGCCCCAGAGAGGCCCUGAAGCACAGGCCUCCCCCAAGAAAUCAGCAGCCUCAGACCAUCCAUAUUGCCCACAAGUGCUACCACAGUUUCUCCUUGGGACUGCAGCAGCCCUGUGAGCCAGCGACGGGCAGCAAUGGUAGAGUCUCGUGCAGUCCGCCACUCUGGAAUGUGAAGAAGCACUGCUGGGCAGACAGGUCCCAUGUGCCUCCUGAGCUGCUGCAAGAGAUUACCAGGUACUUCUGCCCCAUGAACAUGGCGGGGUACUGCCUGCCGGGGAUGUGCGCACCCCACAACACCAGCCAGUACAUUAUGGAUCAGCAUCUGGACACAUGGAAAAAUGAGCAGGAAGAAGCAGUGGCAAUGUCCAGAGAGAACAGUAUUGACAGCAUCAUGGAUGAGAACAUCUCUCUCACAGCCCCUCUCCCUUCCAUAGCCCAGAAUGAAGGAGAUAUUUCUACUGAGGAAGAGAACGAGGAGGAGGAGAGCAUGCAGCUCACCCAUGAAGACUAG
rnacentral:lncRNA from 1 species